rnacentral:snRNA from 1 species
AUCAGUUUAGCAGCAUAUAUACUAAAAUUAGAAAGAGAUAGAAAAGAUUAGCAUGGGCCCUGAGCAAGGGUAACAUGCAAAUUCGUAAAGCAUUCCAUAUUUUU